UUUAAAUGCAACUAUAAGUUUUCGCACUCAACUUUAAUCGUUCGUCUUAUUUAAAAUUAUUUUAUAAUUAGUAUUUUUGUUGUUAUAAGAUGAUAUCAUAUGAAUAGUACUUUACUCGUGACUUACGUUUUAAAUUUUUUUUCAAAUAAGAUGAACGGUUAAAGUUGGGCACGAAAAACCAUGGCUGCACUUAAA
rfam:Oryza sativa Japonica Group DNA, chromosome 3, cultivar: Nipponbare, complete sequence.